rnacentral:lncRNA from 1 species
UCAAAACUCAUCCUUGCUUGCUGUUGCAGUUGCUGUUCAAUCUUCUCCCAUGAGUUCUUCCAGGGAGAACUCAUCCUCUUCCAUGAUUUUCCCAUCUUUCCCAUCCCAUGCUUCUGUCUUUACGAUGUUCAGACCGCCAUUCAGAGGUAAAUUUCCCUUCCCUCCUCUCCCGGCUUCCUUAACAAAUUCACUGAAACACAUUUUUUUAUGUAUUGCGUAUUCAAGAUUUUUGUUCAUUUGCAAGAGGUGGGAUAAUAAUAUUCAGGACAAUGCAGGAAAUCGAACACUUACAUGAUAUGCUCAAGCUCAAAUGCACUUCUGAGCGGAGCAUAUGCUCCUUUCUUCACAUUCAAGGCUACAAGAGCUGGAUACCCAUACCCACCGAUACCUACACACUUCUCAAGAUCUGGUU